rnacentral:rRNA from 1 species
UACGAAGGGUGCAAGCGUUACUCGGAAUUACUGGGCGUAAAGGGCGCGUAGGCGGUCAGCACAAGUCAGUUGUGAAAUCUCCGAGCUUAACUCGGAAAGGUCAACUGAUACUGUGCGACUAGAGUGCAGAAGGGGCAACUGGAAUUCUUGGUGUAGCGGUGAAAUGCGUAGAUAUCAAGAGGAACACCUGCGGCGAAGGCGGGUUGCUGGGCUGACACUGACGCUGAAGCGCGAAAGCCAGGGGAGCGAACGGG